rnacentral:lncRNA from 1 species
AAGGUAAGAUCUAGUGAUCAUGGAGACAAAUCAUCAUCCAAAUAGCAAUCUCCCGUAGGAAAGAGAGGCACCAGGACUCCACCUUAGAGAUGAUGGAAUUGGAAACCUGCAGGAACACUAGUGAAACCUCUGACUUUGUAGAGGAACAUCAAAGGCUUGCAGUGCCCUGUGUAUCCGCUGUCAAAAUUGGUUUCACGACCUGACGCUUCUUCGCCACUCUCAUCUUCUCCCCCAACGCAUGCAAUCGUGAGACAACAGAGCUAGCGAAGUCGAUACACCAAGCAGCGGAUCCGACCAUGAGAGCAGUGAAGCUAGAGCAUGGCUGACAUGCUUUGCCUGAGUGGAUUACAGUCCAUAAGCUCCAAGUUCGACGAUUGCAGGUGGUUUUUUUACCUCUUGACCCGUUGCUCCAGUAAGCACCGUGGCCGACUUGGUCCUGGAGCAGUCAAAGUUUCUGCAGUUCUAAUGGAUUGUUUUUAAAAGAUAAUGGAUGCCUUUAUUGAACUUACAAAACCAACAAAUAUGAUGAAAAUGGUUAUCGGAGAUAGUUUUUGUUAGGUGCCUUAUUGAGUUCUUGUUAAGUUUAGCUCUAUCAGGCCUCCAUGAUUGCCCUGAGAGUCAAGAGGCAACGAAGUAAGGAGGAAGAGAAGGAUCUGGUUAAUUGGUCUAAAGCACCAUCAAAAG